AUCCAGUUGACAAGUCCCAAAUAGGACGAAACGUGUGUCCUGGAU
rnacentral:hammerhead_ribozyme from 1 species